AUACGGAGGGUCCAAGCGUUAUCCGGAUUCAUUGGGUUUAAAGGGUCCGCAGGCGGGAAAAUAAGUCAGUGGUGAAAGCCUACAGCUCAACUGUAGAACUGCCAUUGAAACUGUUUUUCUUGAGUAUAGAUGAAGUGGGCGGAAUAUAUCAUGUAGCGGUGAAAUGCAUAGAUAUGAUAUAGAACACCGAUUGCGAAGGCAGCUCACUAAACUAUUACUGACGCUCAGGGACGAAAGCGUGGGGAACGAACAGGAUUAGAAACCCCAGUAGUCC
rnacentral:rRNA from 1 species